GCCUCCAAAACUUGUACUAAAAACUAAGGAGUCCAAAUAAUUAAAAUGUCCCAAAAAAACUUCAGUCAAAUGUGUCAAAUAAGCGAAGUCAAUUUAGAAAUGAACUGAACUUUUGCAAAUUACUAGCAAAACUGAGUGAAAUGAUUCGAAUUUCGUUUGCAAAAUAUUUCGGCAAUCACAUCUGUGACAACGAAAGUGGAAAUUAAAAAAUUAUUGAAAAUAAACAACAACAAGAUAUACACCAAAAAGAAGUCAAUAAAUUUGUAUCUAACUGCUGCAAGACAAGAAGCUCUUUCAGCAUCAUAUUUGACAUCUGGUUUGUCGCUGGUUGUUAGUGGUUGCUUGUCGGAGACAAAAAUUAAACAUGCUAUUCAUUAUCUGCUCCUCUUACGGUAAAUAUGUAUGUAGAUGGAGAAAUGAAGUAUUUUCGUCGAAAUAUGCGAAUAUGUUUAUUUGUAUUCAAUGAUAUGAUAUGCUAACUACUUUUAUCAACUGAGACGCAAUAGUGUUGUGUUUUAAAUACCUUACCGUUGUUAAUUACACCUUUUUUAAGUCGA